rnacentral:lncRNA from 1 species
UCAAGAGUUCAAACAUUUGACCAACUUGUGGUCGGCGCCAGGAAAGAGAAGAGAGGAAGGCGGUGGUCAUCGAAUCUGGAGGCGGCGUGAAAAUGGAAAAGAGGGGAAAAAAGGGGACGAGCAUCGUGGUGGUGGGUUCGUCGAAAUCUACACCGGUCAGUGAUAGCAGUUGCGGUGUUUGGAUGUUGGUGGUGCAGCUGGAACUUAAUGGUGGUGGCUAAGAAGGGUUUUGGUGGUAAAAAGGGCUGCAACAGUGAUUUUUGGCUGGUUGCCAGCUGUUUGGUGAUGAUUUCGGUGGCGGUAGGCAGUUUGGUUAAGGGUUGCCUGUUGAGUUUGGAGAGAGAAAGAAAGAGUAGAGAGAAGGAAAAGAGGAAAUGGAGAGAAAGGAGAGAGAAAGGAGAGUUGAGGUUGUUUUUUUACAUGUGUGUGGUGUAUGUUUAAUGUGUGUUUGUUUGAG